rnacentral:rRNA from 1 species
AACGAACGCUGGCGGCAGGCUUAACACAUGCAAGUCGAACGGGCCCUUCGGGGUCAGUGGCAGACGGGUGAGUAACGCGUGGGAACGUGCCCUUCAGUUUGGGAUAACCCAGGGAAACUUGGGCUAAUACAGGAUACGUGCGAGAACAGAAAGAUUUAUCGCUGAAGGAUCGGCCCGCGUCUGAUUAGCCGGUUGGUAGGGUAAUGGCCUACCACGGCGACGAUCAGUAGCUGGUCUGAGAGGAUGAUCAGCCACAUUGGGACUGAGACACGGCCCAAACUCCUACGGGGGGCAGCAGGGGGGAAUAUUGGACAAUGGGCGCAAGCCUGAUCCAGCCAUGCCGCGUGAGUGAUGAAGGCCUUAGGGUUGUAAAGCUCUUUCAGUGGUGACGAUAAUGACGGUACCCGCAGAAGAAGCCCCGUCUAACUUCGUGCCAGCAGCCGCCGUAA